rnacentral:snoRNA from 1 species
ACGACCUUACUUGAACAGGAUCUGUUCUAUAGGAUUGUACCUUUGUAUCCUUGUGUUCUAAGGAGACAGGAACCUAAGUCUGGUCGAUGAAUCAUGACCGCCCGAUCAGAGCGUGAGUAAUGGCUUGUGAUCUACUGUUGACGUAGAUCAUCAAGCUGUAGAGGAUCGUUCUCAGCUUGUCAUCUGACGGCUGAGAUGGUCGUGCGGUUGUCUGACAGACU